GAGUCAUGAUGCCUGGAGGAGACUGUUGAAUGUGUUCCAUGGUUCUCUGUGUCAGACUGAAGUUGUGUUUUAGUCGUUGAGAUGAGGAGCCCCCUCAUCUCCCCCUGGUGUUUCUCCUUCUGAAUCCCUGAGUCCAUUUUAAAGAACAUUCCAGUCCAUGUAACUGACGUCACGACGGUUUCUCAAACACUCGCUUUCCCCUGAGGGGCUCUGUAUCCCAGUAUGCACCUCUGCUCACUCAGACCACACCCUCAUCAGUAAAGCAACACUCAUGUGAUGAAGAUGCAGAGCUCAGGAGAGUAGCUGAAAAGAAGACUGAUGAUAUCAGAACCCAACCCAUUACUCCAGCUUACAACAAUAACUUGGAGCCUGUAACCAUUUUAAAAAAUCAUUAAAACCAACAUAAACCAAACACCUAAGUAACCCAUGAACCAAUAAAACAUCCUCACUACUCAGAACAACCGUCAGGUUACGGGCUAACUCA